rnacentral:rRNA from 1 species
GACAGAGGGUGCAAACGUUGUUCGGAAUUACUGGGCGUAAAGCGUGUGUAGGCUGCUCCGAUAGUCGGAUGUGAAAGCCCUGGGCUCAACCUAGGAAGUGCAUUCGAUACUCCGGAGCUCGAGUCCUGGAGAGGAAGGCGGAAUUCUCGGUGUAGAGGUGAAAUUCGUAGAUAUCGAGAGGAACACCGGUGGCGAAGGCGGGUCUCUGGGCCGAAAUUGACGCUGAGGAGCGAAAGCGUGGGGAGCAAACAGG